rnacentral:rRNA from 1 species
UACGUAGGUGGCAAGCGUUGUCCGGAUUUAUUGGGUUUAAAGGGUGCGUAGGCGGCCCCCUAAGUCAGUGGUGAAAUACGGCAGCUUAACUGUCGAGGUGCCAUUGAUACUGGGAGGCUUGAGUACUGAUGAGGUAGGCGGAAUUGACGGUGUAGCGGUGAAAUGCUUAGAUAUCGUCAAGAACACCGAUAGCGAAGGCAGCUUACUAAGGAGUAACUGACGCUGAGGCACGAAAGUGCGGGGAUCAAACAGG